UUAGAAUCAAAUAAGGCUUUAAAAACUGAUGCCUGGACCCCACCACCAGACGGGUCACAAUGCCUGUAGGGUGGAACCCAAUCAGUACUGACACCCUCCCGAAGAGCCACGCCCAAAAGGGCAACAAGCCAGUAAAUUCAAGGGCAAAUGGAAGAGUUUCCAUAUUCUAAACCCUUAAAAGAGGUUAUCUUUUGAAGCAUGAGGUUUCAUGGGUGUAAAUGAUUCUUACAGAUGAAAGCAACCUAGACAUAGAGUGGCACUGAGUCUUAGAGCACACAACUAGCACCGGCUGGAGCUGAGCUGGGUACUCAGGCGUCGUGCCCAAGACAAUCCUUACCACUUGCUGGGGAUUGAACCCAGAGCCUCAUGCAUGUCAAGCAAGCGCACCACCACUGAACGCUAGCCUCACUCCAUCUUUU